rnacentral:rRNA from 1 species
CAACUGGAGAGUUUGAUCCUGGCUCAGAAUCAACGCUGGCGGCGUGCCUAACACAUGCAAGUCGAGCGCGAACGGGGACUUCGGUUCCCUAGUAGAGCGGCGAACGGGUGAGUAACACGUGGGUAAUCUGCCUCCGGGUGGGGAAUAACUCAGGGAAACUUGAGCUAAUUCCGCAUAACGUGGCCGAUCACAAGAUCGGCUACCAAAGCUGGGGACCCUUCGGGGCCUGGCGCCUGGAGAGGAGCCCGCGGCCAAUUAGCUUGUUGGUGAGGUAAUGGCUCACCAAGGCUCCGAUUGGUAGCCGGCCUGAGAGGGCGGACGGUCACACUGGAACUGAGACACGGUCCAGACUCCUACGGGAGGCAGCAGUGAGGAAUUUU